rnacentral:rRNA from 1 species
GAUGAACGCUGGCGGCGUGCCUAAUACAUGCAAGUAGAACGCUGAAGGAGGAGCUUGCUCUUUCCGGAUGAGUUGCGACCGGGUGAGUAACGCGUAGGUAACCUGCCUGGUAGCGGGGGAUAACUAUUGGAAACGAUAGCUAAUACCGCAUAACAGUAGAUAUUGCAUGAUAUUUGCUUGAAAGGGGCAAUUGCUCCAUUACCAGUGGCACCUGCGUUUUAUUAGCUAGUUGGGGAGGUAACGGCCCACCAAGGCGACGAUACAUAGCCGACCUGCGAGGGUGAUCGGCCACACUGGGACUGAGACACGGCCCAGACUCCUACGGGAGGCAGCAGGAGGGAAUCUUCGGCAAUGGACGGAAGUCUGACCGAGCAACGCCGCGUGAGGGAAGAAGGUUUUCGGAUCGUAAAGCUCUGUUGUAAGGGAAGAACGAGUGUGAGAGUGGAAAGUUCACGCUGUGACGGUAUCGUACCAGAAAGGGACGGCUAACUACGUG